rnacentral:lncRNA from 1 species
AGCUUGAGCUUUGUGUGGACCAAACUGGAGCUUAGCUUUGAUGCUAUUAGUGUAGAUUAGGCGAAGACAUGACCUUACACCCUCUACUCGUCGAUCUAGCUUGAUUUUAGUGGAGAUUAAUUAUAGUUGUAUGUAUAGAGAGGAAAGCUUGUUCUAGAUCUAGGAUUUCCUUUUAAUUUUUUAUUUAUAGUUUUUAUUUCAUGAAAUUGGAAUG